ACGGCAGGCUCUAAAUCUGCAAGGUCAGCACAGGAGGGGAGGAGGGACCUGAAGGUCAUGGGAGGAAGAGGGGGAUGGGCAUGAGCAGGUAUAAAUGAGAAACGGUGUGUUGUAAGUGAUGUAACCGCGUGCUGGGCUUGUUAACACCUGAGAACCUCAAAACACCUGCUCUUAUCCUCGAGAGCCAGGCUGACAGCAUCGUCCAUGGGGAAUUCAGGGGCUGGCGGUCAGGUCGCAGGAUGAAUCACAGGAAGGAGCAGGAAGAGAGGGGCGUGGAGCGGGCUUGGUGCUGCUCUCCACCCCUGGGUCCCAUGCCGACUAUGGACUCCAGCUGGGAACCCCGUCCGCCCCACCUCUGCUUCUCAGUUGGGAACCCGGUCCUCAGAGCUCCCCUCCACCCUGUUACUCUGCUCCGGCUGCCCCCUGUUCUCAGGAGCCCACCUUCCCUUCCUGUCUGCACUGGGCUUGUCACCUGCAGGGUCCAUGCCUGCCCCAACACACCGACGACCUGGAUGGGGAGCCCAGUCUUCCCCACAGCCCCCUCUGUCCCCAGCCAGCAUCGGCACCUGGGUUCUAGGUAGAUGGGUGGCCAGGAAUGUCCUGGAACCAGUCCCACGUGUCCUGGCUGGUUGGCAGGUGCCCACCCACAUCUUGCCUGGGUGCACCCAGCUGUUUGGUGGGACUGCCGCCCAGCACUUAGACGUCGUGGCCCAGGCAGACCAGAGGGCAGGGAGAGCCACGGGGGCCCCGGCCUGGCCAGGCUCAGGGGAGCCGGGGACCGAACAAGGGUGUCACCAAGGAAGGUGACCGCCUCGCCCUCGGGCAGGACCCCUGAAAUCCCCUCUUGGAGCCUCUCCUGGGCGCCUUGAGGGAGGCACCCUGAGUGCCCCGAGUGGGCCUGUGACUGAGACUGGGCUAGGCUCUCCCCAGGGCCUCCCACCUCCUUAGGUCAGGGAACAAUGGCAGCUGCAGGUGUUUGCCGCCAGCUGCUCCUGCCUCUGUGUGGGAGUCAGAGCGCGCAGGGGCCGCGUCUCCUGGAGGUGGAGAGAAGGGGAUCGGGGGCGGGAGAAAUGCCUUCAUAGCAUCCUCCCGCCAGCAUGCUGGCUGAGGGUCUGACCUUUCCUGCCCCACAGGACGGGCAGCGCCUGGGCUCCAUGUUCUCAUGCUGACCACACCGAGGCUGGGACCCCGAGUGUGGGGUGCAGGCCGCCUCCCUGUGCCCUGACCCAGCCUGCAUUCCGCAAGUGAUCAGACGCUUCUGCUGGCUUCACUUCCCUUAGCUCACAGCCCAGAGUGACCAAGCCAGAGGGUUCCAGGUUUAGGUCCACAGGGCUCACGGCUCUGGAGGCUCAUCUGGGAACUCUCUCUGAUGGUAUGGAUUUCCAACCAUGAAGGUCCCCGAGCACCACAACCAGCAGGGCCAGAGAUAUGGGAGGGCAGGUACAUUCCUGGGAUGUGUCCAAGGAAGUUCGGAUUCCUCUGAGGUCCUAGGGAGGCUAGGCUCCAGGUCCCGGGUACUCCUUGGGGAUGAAGGGAUCCCUGCCCUCCUCAGGUGGGGUUGGGGAGACCCCAUGCCCUGGCUGUCCAGGGGUGGAUGAGAUAAAAGCAGAGUUCUUUUCAGAAUUACUCUGGAAACCCGUAUCGCAGCGCCGAUGGACAGAAGAACCAACCCUCACUUCUGUCUUCCUACAAGAGAGGGAAAGGAGGUCACUUCUCAAGAUGCACGUUUUCUAAGAAAAUGUUGAUAUGAUGGAAGUGGCCGGCAUGAAGCAUGGAUGGAGCGUGGGCCAGGACUAUCCGGCCAACAGCUCCAGAGCUCCAGGCCAGCGGACAUGGGCUUCAGGCCAGGAAGGUGGCUCCUUUGGACAGUCGUCCUGGGACAACUUCCCCUGAAGGACAUGACCCUGCUGGGUGCUGAGAUUGAGGUCUCCCUCCCACUGUGGUUCUGAUGUUUCCAGGCAUUUCCAGGCAAUGAAACAGACCAGGCAUCCGCCCAUGACCAGGGCACAGGGUCUGCUGUGCGUUCCUGGCUAUUCCCUGUCCCUGCCUGGGCCUCAGUUUACUCCUUCCUAUUCGAAGCCUCAGCAGAUACUUAACGGUUGAAGUGAGAGAAGGAAACCGAGGCUCAGAGGAGUGGAGCAGUCUGUUGGAGGUCAUGGGGCCAUCAGCCCAUCUGUGCGGUUAACCCCCAGUCUGAAGCAUUCCUGCUACAUUGCUGGGGGGCGUGCGGGUAGUGGGGGUGGGGGGCUAGCCAGCCUCACAGGGACCAAAGAGGCUCAGGGUGAAGGUCAGGCCGUUUGGAAAUGGAAGGUGGUCUCGUCUCAGGCCCUGUCUUUGGCAGCGAUUCUCUCUGAAACUCUGUAGGUGCCAGUUCUUCUGGUGGGGAGCUUGGGGGCGGUGUGGGGGUGGGGUGGGAGGCUGCUCUGCAGAGCAGGGAGGAGGGUAGCGGUUGGGGGCAGGCAGGCUCUCCAAGCGCUCAGACCAGCUCUGAGGGCCGGGAGCAAACAAGCAUCUUCCCACCACAUCCAGCAGCCCCCACUGGAACUUCAGGAAGUGGAGCUGCUAGGGACCUCCCCCAAUGCCCACCCCCCUCACCUCCUGCUGAGAGUGUCCUCUGCAGAGCACUUCCUGGCCUAAUUAAGCAGGGUAAUGAGCAGCUGGGGUGGGGGGAUGAAAGCCCUGGGUGGCUGGAAGCUGGGACGGUUUACGAUGGGCGUCUGCAGCUGGUGACACUCGGGGAAGUCAGUUCUCACAACCCUGGGGGGGCUGCCUGCGGCUCCCACAGCAAGCCCAGGGAAUGCUGGGUCUUAGAAGGGGGCCUGGCGGGGGUCCUGAGGGGCUCGGGUCUGGGCGAGCAGCUGGUCCAAGCUGUGGCUCAGGCCCUGGCUUCCCCCAGGCCGGGGCGUCCUUGGCGACCACCACAUGUCACCCCAUUUCGUUUGAUGCUAUGGCAGAGCCAGGGGCAGCUUCCUAAGACCACGGUCUCAGAGUGAGGAAAUCUGAGCUGGAGCACAGGCACCCGGUUGGUGGGCUGCAGGAGCCCCCAGGCAGGAGCCCUGGGGGACUGGAGGCUGAUCGCAGGCCAAAGGUGGGUGUUUGUGGAACAUGAUCUGCGGUCUUCGGAGAUGCUGCGGCGGGUGCCUGAGCCGUCCCCCUACCCAGCCCCGGGCCCUUCCCCGUGGGCAGCUCCUGGCCUCUCUGCCUCCCAUGGGCCGGUGAUGCUGCUGAGGAACCGCGAGCAGAGGCCUUGGUGGGACGGAUAAGGGGCGGUUCUCUCGUUUGCAGUGAAUCUUCCCAAAGGCCUGAGCUGGAGCCUUGAGGCUGGUCAGCCUUGUCUGGAGAUGGAGAAUCGUGGGCAUUUAGCCUGAAGGCCAGGAGCUGGAUAGGCUGCUCUGGGCGGGUGGGUUCCGGGGAGCUCAGGGCCUGUGCAAGAGCCCCUGCCUGGAGGUGAGGGUAUCUCAGGGGCAAGCAAACAGAGGGACUGUCCCAGGAGGCCCAAUACAGCCCCCAGAGUGUCCAUGGGGGCCGGGGACUCGGGAAGAUGCUGCCCUGGAGGAGACAAGCUUGGCACCCUGCAGAGCCCGACUUCUCAUCCACACGCUUGUACUUCACAGCUAACUUACCUCUGUG